AAUUCAAGAUGUUCUAAAGUAUAGUGUUUACAUUUCCAUAAACAUAAAAUUCGAGCCAGUUUGAGCGUUGCAGCUCGGUACGAUAAGAGUUCCAGUCUGCUUUAUUCCAGUCAAAGCAGGCAGUUUGAAGAUUGGUUAAGGUAGAUAUUUUA